AAUAGAUACCCAGGUAGUCCACGCCGUAAACGAUGAGUGCUAAGUGUUAGAGGGUUUCCGCCCUUUAGUGCUGAAGUUAACGCAUUAAGCACUCCGCCUGGGGAGUACGGUCGCAAGACUGAAACUCAAAGGAAUUGACGGGGGCCCGCACAAGCGGUGGAGCAUGUGGUUUAAUUCGAAGCAACGCGAAGAACCUUACCAGGUCUUGACAUCCUCUGACAACCCUAGAGAUAGGGCUUUCCCUUCGGGGACAGAGUGACAGGUGGUGCAUGGUUGUCGUCAGCUCGUGUCGUGAGAUGUUGGGUUAAGUCCCGCAACGAGCGCAACCCUUGAUCUUAGUUGCCAGCAUUCAGUUGGGCACUCUAAGGUGACUGCCGGUGACAAACCGGAGGAAGGUGGGGAUGACGUCAAAUCAUCAUGCCCCUUAUGACCUGGGCUACACACGUGCUACAAUGGACGGUACAAAGAGUCGCGAGACCGCGAGGUGGAGCUAAUCUCAUAAAACCGUUCUCAGUUCGGAUUGUAGGCUGCUAAC
rnacentral:rRNA from 1 species